ACAUUUGGGGAGUGGAGGUAUAGCUCCAUGCAUUCAUAAAUUUAUUGAAUAACAGGUGUGUGGUUAGCUACAGGCACCUGAAGAUUCACCCUGGGGAAAGAUCCCUGGCAGUCACUGGAUAGGUGACUGAAUGUACUGGAGUCAGCCCAGAUGUUAUGGAGAAAAGACUUUUGGUCCUGCUGGGAAUUGAUCAUGCUUUGUCCAGCCUGCAGCCAAGAUACUCUGCGCACUGUGCUGUCAUGAUUAGAUUUUCAUAACACAUGAGAUCAUUCGACAGCCGUUUGUAGAAGACGUAAUCAGCAAAAGCAAGUAUGAUCUGAUGAAGGUAGAAAUGAUGGUAAGUUCUGAAUUGGUUUUAAAAAGAAACAGAGGUGAGUGUUUUAAUUGUAAAUAGAUACAUUAAAAUGGAAUAGAAGGGUGGGUGUAAGCAAUGAAUGUUUAUGAUUUAAUGCAUGUUCCUACUCAAUUAUGAUAGAAAUGAGCUUGUACGUUAUGUAUCUAUAGAGUCCCACAAAGGUUUUGCAGGUGUAUAGUGUGUCUCAAAUCGUUUGUUCUGUGUUCAGGCACCUAUUGUAAAUGGAAUUAAAUUUACCUAUAAGUUA